rnacentral:rRNA from 1 species
AGAGUUUGAUCCUGGCUCAGGAUGAACGCUGGCGGCGUGCUUAACACAUGCAAGUCGAGCGAAGCACUUUCUCGGAAGUUUUCGGAUGGAAGAGGGAUUGACUGAGCGGCGGACGGGUGAGUAACGCGUGGGGAACCUGCCUCAUACAGGGGAAUAACAGUUAGAAAUGACUGCUAAUGCCGCAUAAGCGCACACUGUGGCAUCACAGGGUGUGAAAAACUCCGGUGGUAUGAGAUGGCCCCGCGUCUGAUUAGGCAGUUGGCGGGGUAACGGCCCACCAAACCGACGAUCAGUAGCCGACCUGAGAGGGUGACCGGCCACAUUGGGACUGAGACACGGCCCAAACUCCUACGGGAGGCAGCAGUGGGGAAUAUUGCACAAUGGGGGAAACCCUGAUGCAGCGACGCCGCGUGGGUGACGAAGUAUUUCGGUAUGUAAAGCCCUAUCAGCAGGGAAGAAGAUGACAGUACCCGACCAAGAAGCCCCGGCUAACUACGUG